rnacentral:lncRNA from 1 species
AAAAAAAUUACCUUUAAUGGGCCACUCGUUAUCGUCAUCAUCAAAUGCUUCGCUUGUCUAAUGUUCCAGUGUUUAAUGCCUGAUUAAAACUGAAGAUGGGGGCUCAUGGCUUGGUGCUGUUGGAACUACCCAGGAUAGAAUGCAUGGCAAGUGGGGCUUCUAAAGGGUAAAAUAUGGACGUUGCAAACAGCACUGCCAGUAUCGGGGAGAACUUUUUAAAUGGAUCCCUCUGGAAGGUUAUGGAAAGGAGGCUCUCUUGAUACCAAGCUUCAGGAUCCACCCACAGGAAAAGGUGAUUUCUCAAGUGUCGAGUCUUGGCGUACGAUGCAUUAGGCAAUCAGCCCCUGCCUGUUUGAUGGAGUUGUACAAUAAACAUGGGCUUGGGGGAAUCAAGAACAUUUCGAGAAGCAUCUCUGGUGGAAUCCUGAUGCUGGAGGCCUCUACUUUGGGAUGUGACAUUUUUGGGUUGGCUGACUAAAGCUGUUCCUGGAGGUCAGCUGGUGGUUUUGCAAGUUCUUGGCUUUUUCCUGCAUUCUGUCAUUGUGCCUUGACUUUUUUAGUGGGGCGGGAUUCCCCAUGACUGAGGAUGGUGGUUGUGGUGAUGGUGUGAACAGUGAGACUGCCCUCUACCUCAGGUUAGGAGAUGUGGGAAUGAGACAGAGAUGGAGGGGUAUGUUCUGGCUUAAUCAACUGGAUCAGCUUCA